rnacentral:rRNA from 1 species
CCUACGGGAGGCAGCAGUGAGGAAUAUUGGUCAAUGGGCGCGAUCCUGAACCAGCCAAGCCGCGUGAGGGAUGACGGCCCUAUGGGUUGUAAACCUCUUUUGUCGGAGAACAAAACCCGGCACGUGUCCCGGUCUGCGUGUAUCCGAAGAAAAAGCAUCGGCUAACUCCGUGCCAGCAGCCGCGGUAAUACGGAGGAUUCGAGCGUUAUCCGGAUUUAUUGGGUUUAAGGGGUGCGUAGGCGGUUCGUUAAGUCAGGGGUAAAAUUUCGGUGCUAAACCCCGUCCAGCCGUUGAAACUGGCAGUCGUGAGUGAGCGAGAAGUAGGCGGAAUGCGUGGUGUAGCGGUGAAAUGCAUAGAUAUCGCGCAGAACUCCGAUUGCGAAGGCAGCGUACCGGCGCCCGACUGACGCUGAGGCACGAAAGCGUGGGGAUCGAACAGGAUUAGAUACCCGGGUAGUC